rnacentral:lncRNA from 1 species
UCAGAAGGAAAAAAGGGUCAGGGCAGUGGCUAAAGAAUAUUGUGGGAUAAAAGAGUCUUUUGUUUUGUUUUGUUUUCAGGUGGAAGCAAAUACUGCACAUGCGUGUUGGUCCUGUGAGGGAAACCAGCUAGUGGAGAGGGAGAGGUUGAAGGAACAGAAAAAUGAGAAGAUAACUCACUGGAGGCUGAAGUGGGAGGAUCGCUUGAGUCUGGAAGCUUGAGACUGCAGCAAGCUGUGAUCGUGACACUGCACUCCAGCCUGGGCAACAAAGUAAGAUCCUGU